CGUAGGUGGCAAGCGUUGUCCGGAAUUAUUGGGCGUAAAGCGCGCGCAGGCGGUCCUUUAAGUCUGAUGUGAAAGCCCACGGCUCAACCGUGGAGGGUCAUUGGAAACUGGGGGACUUGAGUACAGAAGAGAAGAGUGGAAUUCCACGUGUAGCGGUGAAAUGCGUAGAGAUGUGGAGGAACACCAGUGGCGAAGGCGACUCUUUGGUCUGUAACUGACGCUGAGGCGCGAAAGCGUGGGGAGCAAACAGGAUUAGAUACCCUGGUAGUCCACGCCGUAAACGAUGAGUGCUAAGUGUUAGAGGGUUUCCGCCCUUUAGUGCUGCAGCAGACGCAUUAAGCACUCCGCCUGGGGAGUACGGCCGCAAGGCUG
rnacentral:rRNA from 1 species